rnacentral:lncRNA from 1 species
CAGAAUACGCCAGCGCCGCCGCAGUUUCACAAGAAACCGGCAGCAGUUCCAGUUCCUCAGUCCACCGCAAGUUGCACAGCCCCAAAUCUCAAUCUUUGGCAAAACCCUCGUCUCCUCUCCCCCCAUUCUCUCCUGAGAUUCCCCUCAUCAGAUCGAGAGCUGCACAGUAGUGUUCCGCAUUCGGAUCGAGCAGCCGGAGGACCAACAACCAUCAUGGCGACGCACCACCCGGCCUCCCCGACCGGCGCCGGCGCCGGCGGCAAGUCCCCCUCCUCCUCGCCCUCGCCGCCGCCGGCCGUGCGCCUGGCGGCGUCGCAGGCGGCGGCGGUGGCGGCGAUCCAGCCCAGCUCGCCGCGCUACUUCUUCUCCUCCCUCGCCGCCUCCUCCUCGCCGCACCGCCGCAUCGCCAUCGCCGUCGACCUGUCCGACGAGUCCGCCUUCGCCGUCAAGUGGGCCGUGCAGAACUACCUGCGCCCGGGCGACGCCGUCGUGCUCCUCCACGUGCGCCCCACCUCCGUGCUCUACGGCGCCGACUGGGGCUCCAUCCCCGUCACCGUCGACGACGGCGACGAGAAGGGGGGAGGAGGCGCGGCGCCGGCGUCCGGGGACCCGGAGGAGGACGCGCGCAAGAAGCGGGAGGAGGACUUCGACGCCUUCACCUCCACC